GAAAGCGUUGGGCUGCCGACCAUCCUUCUGCGGUAGGGGCCGUGCGGAACGGAGGCUGCGCUUGCCGGGCGCUGGCGCGGGGCUCGGUGGACCACCCCGGGCACUCCUGCAGGACAUCACCAUCACCGCCACCACAACCACCACCCGAGUAGUGCUGCAGACGCAGGACGCUCUCGAUCAGCGCGCAUGCGGGACGCGGCGCUCAAGCAUACACGGUUCGCCGCUCCCGGCCGCCUGUUCUAGGCCCGGGUAACUGUCCAGAGGAGGCAGCGGACUCGGCGCGCUUCGGCCACAGGAGAUCCGUCGUACCGGGCGUGGCUACGCGGGCGACCAGGAUCACCU